GUUCCAGAUUGAAGGACUACAAAGACAUCCAAGGUAUGGAGCUCAACUGAAGCCUCACGCCUACAAGAAUAUGUAUGAUGGCCUCAGACGGAUCUUGAUCGAGGAGGGUUGGGCUGGACUUUACAAAGGGAUUGUUCCCUCAGUUAUUAAAGCUGCACCUGCAGGUGCUGUGACAUUUGUUGCUUACGAGUAUACGUCCGACUGGUUAGAGUCCAAAUUGACUUGAAGCAUGCAGAGUACUUUUUCUUACUUCCUCGUCAUUGGCGAUGGCAACUGGAAAGGGCCUGAUAAUUUUGAGCUCGUUUAUUUUUUUGUCAUUCUUUUUCUCCUUGCAUCUUAAGAAGUCCGAAGGAAGUAAAAAGUCGGGCCAUGAUUGACACUUGUUGCAAGAUGGGGAGUAUUAUAGGGGUUUUGUUCAGUUGAAUGACGUCUUG
rnacentral:misc_RNA from 1 species